rnacentral:misc_RNA from 1 species
AACGCACCUUGCGCUCCUUGGCCAUUCCGAGGAGCAUGCCUGUUUGAGUGUCAUUAUAUUCUCAACCCCCACCAGCUUUGCUGGAGAGGGCUUGGAUGUGGAGGUUUUGCUGGUCCGCUUGGGUCCGCUCCUCUGAAAUGCAUUAGCGGAACCGUUUGUGAUCCGUCACAGGUGUGAUAAAUAUCUACGCCAGUGGGUCGCUUUCUGUGUGUUCUGCUCACAACCGUCCGGCAGCGGACAACUGUAAUUGAACGUUUGACCUCAAAUCAGGUAGGACUACCCGCUGAACUUAA